rnacentral:lncRNA from 1 species
GGGCCCUUGCGGGGCGGGGUGCGGAGGGGAGCCCCCCGCCCCGCGCCCCGCGCCCCGCCAGUGACGCGGCCCCGCCCCACUUGCUCCCCCGACGCCCCCAGCCGCAGACCGCUCUCCAGCGCCAGCUGGCCCUCAGACUGAGAGCCCCGGUCCGUCGUGAACCGUAAUUGGGCCCUAGAGGGCCCCCGCUGGAGGGGUAAUGGUUUGGGGCGGCCCCGACUGUUCGGAGACGCGCGCGUGGAGUGCACGUGGGGAAGUGGCACCCCGGCCCUGGCCCUUGGACCAGCCUUCCUGGACCGCUGCGCGCCUGGGGGGCAUUUGGGUGGCGAGGACACGUUGGAGUGGACUAGAGAGACUUUGUCCAGGAAGUGGACAUCUGGAAGCAUGCCCCUCCGCCCCGGCCUGGUCAUCACUUACUGGUUGAUUCCAGGACGCCUGUCUCUGCCGUGGGGCCCCCACCACUCCCCUACGAAGGAUGCUGAGAGGAGUCAGCAUCCUGCUGGAGUGAAGCCAGCCUCCGGAAGAGGCUGAGGCCAGCACCAGGACUGUGGGGACCCGUGAGCACCCCUCUUGCAGGGCAGUGGCAGGAGACAGUAUGAGGGUCCUCGCUCAGGAGCUCUGGUGGGCCGAAAAGCUGGGGAUUCCUGGAUUUGCCGGCCAAAGUGUACUGGGGAGCAGCACCCGUGAGGGGCCCGGGUUUGCAGCAGAGGCUGCCGGGAUCUGCCCGGAACUCGGGAGCUGGGACAGACCUUUGCAGAAUCGUGUUGAUAUACCUGAGUUCAUCAACGACCCAGUGUGCGCAAGUGCUGCUCCAACCUGUGGUGUGGACAAGGAGACAAUCGGAGGAUUCUGUCCCUUUGUCCCAGUCUCAAGACCGACGUAUGCGCUGGCUGCCACCCCAAGUUGUCAACUUUAUUUUCUCUGCAGCCAAGGACCAGGGAGGGCAUUUUCUGCGGUCAUACCCUGGGCAGAGAGGACCAGUGCCACCUGGUCCCAGCCCAGCAAAGGGCCCGAAGACACAUUCGUGGGCCCUUGGAGGCUAGGCUUGAGGGGAGGCUCAUGUGCCUCAGUCUUUGGGCGCCAGUGGACGAUUCCUUAGAACAGCUGUGGUCCCAGUUCUGUGUCCUCCGAGAGAGGAGGGAGGUGGCGGAGGAAGUCUGUACCCCUCUGGCACUCACGGCUCCCCACUUCCCCGGUCUUUUUGAGGCUUGCACCCCACUGACUCCUGAGACGUCUAAAGUUUGGACAGAGCAAUGCCGGAAAACUCCCUUCAGCAGCCUCGGCCGAGAGCAGGUGGUCCCUUUCGUGUGUGACUCGGGGGUGCAGGGAUGAGCUGCCUCGAGGCUGGAGGGGCACGGAGAGGUCGCGGAAAGUCUGCUGCCAGCCCUUGUGCCAGGGUCCCAGCCUGGCCUGGGACCACAGGGGCCUGGCAGAGGGGCAACAGCUCUGAUCCUGCCUUCGAUGCGUGUGAGUGUGCGUCCGCGGUUGUGUGCGCAUGUGUGAGCGGGAGCGUGAACGUGUUAGUGUGUGUUUCAGCAGGUGUGAAAGACUGCGUGGGCGAGCGUGGGUGUCAGUGGGGGUCGAGCAUGCGGGAAGGUGCGUGAACGCAGGAGCGUGUGCGUGCGGCUUAGGGCGAGAGCCUGGGCAGCGCGGCCUUCGAGGGAGGCUGGCGGGCCGCCUUGCGGUACAUCCGCCCCGGCCCAGCGCCCCCCGCCCCGCGUCUCAAGCCCCAGGCAGGGCCCUGGAGUCCGGCCGCGGGCGAGCCGGCCUCCGGCUCCUGCGUCCCCGGCCCGCAGCCGCAGGU